rnacentral:rRNA from 1 species
ACUCAAAGGAAUUGACGGGGGCCCGCACAAGCGGUGGAGCAUGUGGUUUAAUUCGAUGCGACGCGAAGAACCUUACCCAGGUUUGACAUGUGUCGGACGGGUGUGGAAACACACCUUCCCUUCGGGGCCGGCACACAGGUGCUGCAUGGCUGUCGUCAGCUCGUGUCGUGAGAUGUUGGGUUAAGUCCCGCAACGAGCGCAACCCUUGUCCUUAGUUGCCAUCAAGUCAAGUUGGGCACUCUAAGGAGACUGCCGUCGAUAAGGCGGAGGAAGGUGGGGAUGACGUCAAGUCCUCAUGGUCCUUACACCUGGGGCCACACACGUGCUACAAUGGUCGGUACAAAGGGUCGCAAUGCCGCGAGGUGGAGCCAAUCCCAAAAAACCGACCUCAGUUCGGAUUGCAGUCUGCAACUCGACUGCAUGAAGGCGGAAUCGCUAGUAAUCGCUGAUCAGCAGGCAGCGGUGAAUAUGUUCCCGGGCCUUGUACACACCGCCCGU